CUGAGCACAGCAGGCAGCUGAGUGUUGGCAACAGCCCCAGGCAGGGCAAGCCUGGAUGACUAACCAUGUCCAGGAUCCUGGGCAAAAUGACAUGAGGCAAGAGACAGAGCUGGAGACAUGCUACAACAUGGAUCUGAGUGGUCUAUCCAGAAGAAAAUUACAGUAUAGGUCUAAGAUCCAUCUGGAAAGCAAGGGUCGAGGAUGGGACCGGAGCCUAGGGCUGGAGGCAUAGGGCUGAGCUGAAAUGGUCUGUAGGGACCCACUGCUGGAAGACAGAUAGUAUGAGUCUUCCUUCCUUUGAUCAACACCAGCUGGGCUUUACUUCACCUACAAGCCAGAUACUUCAGAGAAAAAGAUGAUCCUUCCCAUUUUGCCAUGAUGCAGGAAAAGUAGAGGUAAGGCAGCUGGGCAGAGGUUACAGGGGUAGCUGGUGGGCAGUGCCAUGUUGGAUGGCACUGGGUUGGAUACUAGGAACAAUUUCUUCUCUGAGUGGUGGUGCAAUGGCACAACUGCCCAAGGAGGUGGUGUGGUCACCAUCCCUGGGGGUGUUCCAAAGCCAUGGAGAUGUGGCACUGGGGGAUGUGGUCAGUGAGCAUGGUAGGGUGGGUUGAGGUUGGGCUUGGUGAUUAUAGAAGUCUUUUUGAACAAUAAUAAGUCUAUGAUUCUGUGAUUCUAUUUGGGGUUUGUCCAAGAGGUCACAGGUGGGGCUGGCUGGCCAUCAGAACACACUGAUGUGCUCAGGGCCAUAACAGUAGCAGUUAAUCCCAAAACAAGUUGCACCUGGCUGUACAGGUCUGCCAUGCUCCACAGGCCCUCAGACUGUGUUCUCUAGCUUUUGCUGUAGCUCUUCAUGCCCAUAAAGUGACCACAGCGCGUGCUCUGCUACAGCCAUCUCUGCAUCUUACACAUGGCCUGGUGCCAUGGCUGUACUUACCAGGGCUGGGGAAGCAGUGCCCUUCAGGGAACUGAAGAAGUAAGGGGUAACCAAGAGAAGGACGAGCUUUGAAUGUUGCUGGUCUGACCUCCACAACAGAGCAGGGAUGCUUUAUGGAGAUCAGUGAUGAGUGCUGUCCUUCAGGGGUCAGUACUGACAUCAGUGCUCUUAAAUAUCUCUAUCAAUGACACUGACAGUGGUUUGUGUGCACCCUCAGCAGUUUGUGGAUGACGCCUUGACAUGCCCGAGGGAUAGGAUGCCAUCCAGAGAGACCUGGACAGGCUGAGCUGUGUGUCCAGGAUAACCACAUGAGGUUCAACAAAUCCAGUGCAACUGCACCUGGGUUGUGGCAACCCCUGCUAUGGGGUGUAAGGAUGAAGCACAGCACUGCCAAAAAGGACCUGGGGUACUGGUGGAUGGCAGCUGGGCAUGAGCCAGCAGCAUGCCCUCACAGCCAGAAAGCCAACAGUCCCCUGGGUGCACCCAAAGCAGUGUGGCCAGCAGGGCAGGGAGGGGAUCUGCUCUUCUGCUCUGCACUGUGACAUCUCCUGGAGCACUGCGCCCAGGUGGGGAGUGCUCAGCACAGGAGAGACAUGGAGCUGUUGGAGUGUGUCCAGUGUUGUGGGCUGUUGUGACAGGACAAGGGGAAAUGAUUUCAAACAAAAAGGGGAGACUUAGAUUGAAUGUAAAGAUGAAGAUUUGUACACUAAGGGCGGUGAGACACUGCACAGGUUGCCCAGAGAGGCGGUGAUGCCCCAUCCCUGCAGACAGGCAAGGUCAGGAUGGAGGAGCUCUGAGCACUGGUAGAGCUGUGGGUGUCCCUGUGCGCUGCAGGGAGUGGGACCUGAUGGCCUUUGGGCCAUCCAACUCAAAUGAUUUUAUAAUUCAGUGACUCUGUGAGUUAGAAUGGAGUGCCUGGGGUCAUAUCAAGGUUGGUUGUGAACACGUCAAGGAAUGGAGAGAUUCCACAACUGUUGUUUUUGUUUUGUUUUGUUUGUUUCUCCAGUGUUUGAAGAGCCUCAGAAUGAUAUUUUCUUAAUCUAAUUGUAAUUUCCCUUGCUUCCCUUGUGUCUGUUGCCUCUCAUCCUGUCCCUAUGGACCUUCAGAGCUGCAGAAUCACAGCCUCAUAUAUUCAUUUAGGUUGGAAGUGACAGUCUGACCCCUCUGUUCAAUGCAGAUCUACAGUGUGAUGUCCUCAUCCAGUCAAGACCUGAAAACCUUCAAGAAGGGAAAACUCACAGCCUCUCUGGACACCUGUUCUAGUAUGUGACCAACUUCAUGCUAUAGAUGACAGUCCCUGACUUGAAUUGCCCAUGUUCUAACUUAGAUCCAUUGCUUCUCAUCCCAGCACCCCUGAGUACAACUUGGAUCCACAUUCUCUGCAUCCACCAGGCUGUGCAGACCACAAAGGCCGCCCCUUUGCUUGCUCUUCUCUCUAUGGUACCAAUCCACCAGAAAAGGACUGACUAGAAUUUUCUUGAAGAAAUCCAUGUUGUAAGUGCUCCUAUUUACAGAGAGAGGCUUGGAAUGAGAUUAGUCCAUGUUCAUUCCGCCCCAGUUCCCAAAGCUGCAGGGGCAGUGGGUCCAGCAGAGCGUACCACACAUUGCACAAGAGCAGUGCUGUGCUGCUGGAGUGGGACUUUUUGAAACGUGGUGCUUAGAUGAAAAAAGCACCACUUGCCAGGAGCACUCCAGUGCCUCAUUCCCGAGGGCCAAGAUGGGCUUCCCCAUGGCUGGGCUCAAUGCCUGCUCUAGAGAGAGCAAUUGAUGCCCCGACAUUUGAUUUCUGUCCAGGAGGGGAAUGCCAUCAGGGUGUUUACUUACGUGCUGAAAUGCUGGAAGGUGCUCAGAGGACACGAUUCCCUGGGGAAACCCUGCGAGAGCAGUGGGGGGAGGUGGGGGACGGGGGCAGCCAGGCUGUGUACGUCGGAGCUGUUCCAAGGCACUGUCUCAUUGGCAACUUGCUAUUUGCUUUGCUUCUGAAGGAAGCUCUUCACCUUCGUGAGACACAGCCUUCUUUACCUGAGGACAUGUCACUUCACUACGAAGAGCAAACACAGCACAAAGCACUAGCGCUGUCGCCGAACAGGGGACAAGUGCUGCGGUUUGGGUCUUGUGCUCCCACCCCUCACCCACAGAGCCCUAUAACUUUCAGGCUGCACACCCCUCCCACAGGCCACAUCCGCCUGGCUUCCACCCCGCAGGGUCCCCUCGGAGACAGUAUGGCUACCCAGUGCCUUUGCCUCCUGAUUCUCACCUCCCUGCUGGCCCUGGCAGCACCUCUUGUCUUUGACAUAAAAAACUUGCAUCUCUUAAAUGGAACGAUGGAUGAAAUUAUGAAUAUUCACCCUGAGCCCGUCCAGCCUGAUGAGGGGGACCACCACGUUCGACAGGUCAGAGAUAUUGCCCGCGCCCACCAGCGGCUCAUGAAACAACAGAGGUGCCACAGCUCAUCAUCCUGGAUAGACCCUAGCACCAGCCACGUUCUCCACUUAAUAUGUGCUGAGAGAAUUUUCUACCUGAAGAUCUAAACUGGAAAUUGAUGAUUCAUUAUCUGCCUUCAGGUUGUGGUGGCUGAUUAUUACCUGAUUUUGGCUGUGCAGUUGAUGACAAGGCUGGUUAAGACAGAGAGUAACUGAAUAACUGAGCUGGCUGAGUCAGCGCAAGCUCUAUGGCCACAUGGCACGGCUUCUUUGGGUGCAA
ensembl:lncRNA